UACGUAGGGGGCAAGCGUUGUCCGGAAUUAUUGGGCGUAAAGAGCGUGUCGGCGGUCCGGUAAGUCAGCUGUGAAAGUCAAGGGCUCAACCCUUGAAUGCCGGUUGAUACUGUCGGGCUAGAGUCCGGAAGAGGCGAGUGGAAUUCCCGGUGUAGCGGUGAAAUGCGCAGAUAUCAGGAGGAACACCGGUGGCGAAGGCGGGUCUCUGGGCCGAUACUGACGCUGAGGAGCGAAAGCGUGGGGAGCGAACAGG
rnacentral:rRNA from 1 species